GGGGAAUAUUGCGCAAUGGGGGGAACCCUGACGCAGCCAUGCCGCGUGAAUGAAGAAGGCCUUCGGGUUGUAAAGUUCUUUCGGUAUUGAGGAAGGUUGAUGUGUUAAUAGCACAUCAAAUUGACGUUAAAUACAGAAGAAGCACCGGCUAACUCUGUGCCAGCAGCCGCGGUAAUACGGAGGGUGCGAGCGUUAAUCGGAAUAACUGGGCGUAAAGGGCACGCAGGCGGUUAUUUAAGUGAGGUGUGAAAGCCCCGGGCUUAACCUGGGAAUUGCAUUUCAGACUGGGUAACUAGAGUACUUUAGGGAGGGGUAGAAUUCCACGUGUAGCGGUGAAAUGCGUAGAGAUGUGGAGGAAUACCGAAGGCGAAGGCAGCCCCUUGGGAAUGUACUGACGCUCAUGUGCGAAAGCGUGGGGAGCAAACAGGAUUAGAUACCCUGGUAGUCCACGCUGUAAACGCUGUCGAUUUGGGGGUUGGGGUUUAACUCUGGCGCCCGUAGCUAACGUGAUAAAUCGACCGCCUGGGGAGUACGGCCGCAAGGUUA
rnacentral:rRNA from 1 species